rnacentral:rRNA from 1 species
UACGAAGGGGGCUAGCGUUGCUCGGAAUUAUUGGGCGUAAAGCGCGCGCAGGCGGUCAUUUAAGUCUGGUGUUUAAUCCCGGGGCUCAACCCCGGAUCGCACUGGAAACUGGGUGACUUGAGUGCAGAAGAGGAGAGUGGAAUUCCACGUGUAGCGGUGAAAUGCGUAGAUAUGUGGAGGAACACCAGUGGCGAAGGCGACUCUCUGGGCUGUAACUGACGCUGAGGCGCGAAAGCGUGGGGAGCAAACAGG